AAAAAAAAACAAAACUAUCCUCUGAAAAUUUUAAUCAGUUGACUCUAUCAUGAAUUUGUAUCUAAGUUUUUUUUUCAGUUUCCAACUUUGAAUCUAAGUUUAUAUACAGAGGUUUUGCAUAUGCUUUAAGCAAAUGCCACCUUGUCCAACAAAUAUGUUAUUCAUCUACCAAAUUAAAUGUCUCAGCUUUUAGUAGUUCUUUUUCAAAAAUAUCAUUUACCUCCAAUGCUUUUAGAUCUCUUCAUAACUCAAAAAGCCCAAAAAACCGAACUCUCCUCUAAAACUGUUCAAUUCGAAAAGCCUUUGUGGUUUUGUCUCUUUGU
rnacentral:lncRNA from 1 species